CUUUCUAGAAUGCUUGCUGUUUGGAGAUUCUAGCCCUGGGUCCAGAUGAAGAGACCACUUAGUGGCCCACCCUGACUUCUCCCUAACAUAGCUGUGAUUAUUACAUUCUGCCUUUUUUUUUUUUUUCUGUUUCUGAUUCUUCAAGGAAAUAGUCUCUUCCUUUUUCUUCCCUCUUCUUCUACUCUGAGCUCUGUUAGUUUGUGUUUACUUAUCCAUUGAUUGUCUUUUCACAUCAGAUGGGAGACUGUUGUGAAGGCAGGACCUAUGUCUUGCUCAUUGCUGUCUGCCUGGUACUUGGCCUGGAGUAGGCUCCCUGUGAAUCUUUGCCGAACUAAAGAAUUUUACUGAUGAUAGACGACAACAGCACACCGGUGACCAACCCUCGGGUUCAGAGCUUGAUUGACUGAGGACUUACUUUAAGCUGGAGGGAGUAGAGCCAGCUUUCUCUGCUCAUUCAGAUCCCAGAGCGUUUGGUGCUCUGUGUAGGACCAGAGCAAAGAAACACAACUCUUUGUACUAAACAUUAUGGCCCAGAAUUGGUGUUAGGUGCCAGAUGUUAAGAGAUCAAUAUAGGUGAGGCUAACAUUUUUUUUCUUUUUGCACUGAUUGUUUCAAGUGUUUUGCUUAACUUUCUAUUUUUGCAACCUGGAUAAGGGCUGCUAGUUCUAAUUUUAAUAAUAGGAUCUGUGGGUCUACAUUAUAAGGCAUCCAUGAUUUGGGUUUGGAGUGCGCACUGAUUGACAUUCAUGAUCCCAGAGACAUCAUCUUCACCCUUCUUGCCCUUAGGGUUAACGUCCUUUGGUGACACCAUGGGCAAGGUCUGGAUGGUUUGGCCAAGAGGAAGCCCAUGCAGAUCAUCUAAGCUAAAGCCAAGUCACCUUUCUCAGAAAGCAAAAUUCAGGAAACUCUUCAAAUAUCCCAGAAGUCAGUGAUACCAAAGACUUCCAGAAAAGCCUUUUCCAGUGGGAAUUGACCUGUAAAUUCCGGCCGCAGGAGAGCGAGUGGAAACCAGGGCACACUGCAAGGUCCCCCUUUUCCUCUCUCGGAGGGCAAUGUGAGCCCUUGCCAGGCAGUUGAACACUGGUAUGCACCAAGCACAUGGCUGAGUGGGCGUGGUGUGGGGAAGGCCCGGUGCUGAGUGGUGACAGACACUUGUGUGUCCCCUAGAAAGUGUAUUAUCGAUUGAUAAUUUUAACCAGAGAAAGGGGGAGAUGUUUGAUAAGUCUCUCUUUGUGAAUAAUAGAUACUCCUAUCUUUAGUCGUAGCUCACUACCAAUGAGCCACCCCUAAUAUUUUAUACAGAGAAUAGGCC
rnacentral:lncRNA from 1 species